GCCAGGCAUGGUGGCACAUGCCUGUAAUCCCAGCAGCUCAGGAGGCAGAGGCAGGAGAAUCCCGAGUUCAAAGUCAGCUUCAGCAAGUUAGUGAGGCCCUAAGCAACUCAAGGAGAACCUGUCUCUA
rnacentral:sRNA from 1 species